rnacentral:rRNA from 1 species
UACUUAGGUGGCGAGCGUUGUCCGGAUUUACUGGGCGUAAAGCGCGCGCAGGCGGUUCGUUAAGUCCGGUGUGAAAGCUCCCGGCUCAACUGGGAGAGGUCAUUGGAUACUGGCGGACUUGAGGGAUGCAGAGGAAGGUGGAAUUCCCGGUGUAGUGGUGAAAUGCGUAGAGAUCGGGAGGAACACCAGUGGCGAAGGCGGCCUUCUGGGCAUUUCCUGACGCUGAGGCGCGAAAGCGUGGGGAGCGAACCGG